rnacentral:tRNA from 2 species
GCCGCCGUAGCUUAGCUGGUAGAGCGCCGGACUGUUAAUCCGGUGGUCGCAGGUUCGAAUCCUGCCGGCGGCG